GGAGUAUUCGGGUUCCGGGGGGAGUAUGGUCGCAAGGCCGAAACUUAAAGGAAUUGACGGAAGGGCACCACCAGGAGUGGAAUCUGCGGCUUAAUUUGACAACGCGGGAAAACUCACCAGGUCAGGACACGGUAAGGAUUGACGGACUGAAGGCUCUUUCUCGAUUCCGUGGAAAGUGGUGCAUGGCCGUUUUUGGUUGGUGGAUCGAUCCGUCUGGUUAAUUCCGUUAACGAACGAGACCUCGGCACUCCGAAUAGCGCGGCGGACGUCGCGGCCUCCGGGCCGUCUUCCGCACGAGCUUCUUAGAGGGACCGUCCCCCGCCGGGGAAGGAGGUGCGAGGCAACGACAGGUCUGUGAUGCCCUUAGAUGUUCUGGGCCGCACGCGCAUUACACUGACGCGUCCAACGGGUGACUCCCGACCCGAAGGGGCCGGGGAAUCCGCAAGGCGCGUCGUGAUGGGGAUUGAACGUUGCAAUUGUUGUUCACGAACGAGGAAUUCCUAGUAGGCGCGGGUCAUCAACCCGCGCCGAUUACGUCCCUG
rnacentral:rRNA from 1 species